GGGGGGUAGAAUUCCACGUGUAGCGGUGAAAAUGCGUAGAGAUGUGGAGGAAUACCGGUGGCGAAGGCGGCCCCCUGGACAAAGACUGACGCUCAGGUGCGAAAGCGUGGGGAGCAAACAGGAUUAGAUACCCUGGUAGUCCACGCUGUAAAACGAUGUCGAUUUAGAGGUUGUGGUCUUGAACCGUGGCUUCUGGAGCUAACGCGUUAAAUCGACGCCUGGGGGAGUACGGCCGCAAGGUUAAAACUCAAAUGAAUUGACGGGGGGCCCGCACAAGCGGUGGAGCAUGUGGUUUAAUUCGAUGCAACGCGAAGAACCUUACCUACUCUUGACAUCCAGCGAAUCCUUUAGAGAUAGAGGAGUGCCUUCGGGAACGCUGAGACAGG
rnacentral:rRNA from 1 species